UGGGGAAUAUUGGACAAUGGAGGAAACUCUGAUCCAGCAAUUCUGUGUGUGUGAAGAAGGUUUUAGGACUGUAAAACACUUUUAGUAGGGAAGAAAAAAAUGCCGGUCCCUAGAGAAGAAGCAACGGCUAAAUCCGUGCCAGCAGCCGUGGUAAUACGUAUGUUGCGAGCGUUAUCCGGAAUUAUUGGGCUUAAAGGGCAUCUAGGCGGUAAGACAAGUUAAAGGUGAAUACCUGUGGCUCAACCAUAGGCUUGCCUAAAAAACUGUUGAACUAGAGUACUGGAAAGGUGGGUGGAACUACACGAGUAGGGGUGAAAUUCGUAGAUAUGUCUAGGAAUACCGAUGAUGAAGAUAACUCACUGGAAAGAAACUGACGCUGAAGUGCGCAAGCUAGGAGCGCAAACCGG
rnacentral:rRNA from 1 species